AAAUGAAGGUGGCAGAAAUGCGGAUGUUGCGCUGGAUGUGUGGACUGACUAGAGGGGAUAGAGUUCGGAAUGAGACUAUCCGGGAGAAGGUUGGUCUGACUUCAGUGGAGUGCAAGAUGCGGGAAGCACGAUUGAGAUGGUUCGGACAUGUGAAGAGGAGGGGCAUGGAUGCCCCGGUCCGUAGGUGCGAGAGGCUAGCGUUGGAUGGUUUUAGGCGGGGUAGGGGUAGGCCGAAGAAGUACUGGGGNN
rnacentral:lncRNA from 1 species